rnacentral:tRNA from 1 species
GCGGAUAUGGCGAAGUGGUUAACGCACCUGAUUGUGGUUCAGGCAUUCGUGGGUUCGAUUCCCGUUAUCCGCC